GGGAGGAGUAGACACGACGUGAUAUUGGUUCGGCUCAUCUUAUUGUGAUUAAAAAUUUCAAGGCGAGCCGAAUCAAUAUCACUCAUGUAUGCUUUUUU
rfam:Gossypium arboreum cultivar AKA8401 contig_1368_7, whole genome shotgun sequence.